rnacentral:rRNA from 1 species
GAUGAACGCUGGCGGCGUGCAUAAUACAUGCAAGUCGAGCGAAGCGGGGACGGGGGAGUAACACGUGGAUAACCUCCUAUAAGACUGGGAUAACUUAGGGAAACCGGAGCUAAACCGGAUACAGAUAGCUGGAUCCGCGCUGCAUAAGCUAGUUGGUAAGUUAACGGCUUACCAAGGCAACGAUGCAUACCCGACCUGAGAGGGCGUUCGGAUACACUGCAUCUGAGACACGGUCCACACUACUACGGGAGGCAGCAUCAGGGAAUCUUCCGCAAUGGGCGUAAGCCUGAUGGAGAAACGCCGCGUGACUGAUGAAGGUCUUCGGAUCGUAAAACUCUGUUAUUAGCCAAGCGGCACCUAAUCAGAAAGCCACGGCUAACUACGUGCCAGCAGCCGCGGUAAUAC